rnacentral:rRNA from 1 species
UACGGAGGGUGCAAGCAUUAAUCGGAAUUAUUGGGCGUAAAGGGCGCGUAGGCGGAUUUUUAAGUCGGAUGUGAAAUUCCGUGGCUCAACCACGGAGCUGCAUUUGAUACUGGAAGUCUAGAGGAUAGGCGGGGAAAGCGGAAUUCCACGUGUAGCGGUGAAAUGCGUAGAUAUGUGGAAGAACACCAGUGGUGAAGACGGCUUUCUAGCUUAGACCUGACGCUGAGGCGCGAAAGCAAGGGGAGCAAACAGG